ACGGUCCUAAGGUAGCGAAAUUCCUUGUCGGGUAAGUUCCGACCUGCACGAAUGGCAUAACGAUGGCCACACUGUCUCCUCCCGAGACUCAGUGAAGUUGAAAUGUUUGUGAUGAUGCAAUCUACCCGCGGCUAGACGGGAAGACCCCAUGAACCUUUACUGCAGCUUUGCAUUGAACUGUGAACCGAUUUGUGUAGGAUAGGUGGGAGGCAGAGAAGAGGCCACGCCAGUGGUCUUGGAGCCGACCUUGAAAUACCACCCUGAUUUGUUUGCGGUUCUAACCACGGACAGUGAUCCUGUCUUGGGACCGUGCAUGGUAGGCAGUUUGACUGGGGCGGUCUCCUCCUAAAGGGUAACGGAGGAGUACGAAGGUACGCUAGGUACGGUCGGAAAUCGUGCUGAUAGUGCAAUGGCAAAAGCGUGCUUGACUGCGAGAGCAACAACUCGAGCAGAUGCGAAAGCAGGUCAUAGUGAUCCGGUGGCUCUGAAUGGAAGGGCCAUCGCUCAACGGAUAAAAGGUACUCUGGGGAUAACAGGCUGAUACCGCCCAAGAGUUCAUAUCGACGGCGGUGUUUGGCACCUCGAUGUCGGCUCAUCGCAUCCUGGGGCUGUAGUCGGUCCCAAGGGUAUGGCUGUUCGCCAUUUAAAGAGGUACGUGAGCUGGGUUUAAAACGUCGUGAGACAGUUUGGUCCCUAUCUGCCGUGGGCGUUGGAAGAUUGACGGGGGCUGCUCCUAGUACGAGAGGACCGGAGUGGACGCACCUCUGGUGUACCGGUUGUCACGCCAGUGGCAUUGCCGGGUAGCUAAGUGCGGAAGAGAUAACCGCUGAAAGCAUCUAAGCGGGAAACUUGCCUGAAGAUGAGUCUUCCCGGAGGUUGAACCUCCCUCAAGAGUCGUCCGAGACCAGGACGUCGAUAGGUCAGGUGUGUAAGCGCUGUAAGGCGUUGAGCUAACUGAUACUAAUUGCUCGUGAGGCUUGAUCCU
rnacentral:rRNA from 1 species